UGCCACUGCAUGAGUAACUUUUGCCAGCAU
rnacentral:piRNA from 1 species